ACACUCCUGCGGGAGGCAGCAGUGGGGAAUUUUGGACAAUGGGCGAAAGCCUGAUCCAGCAAUGCCGCGUGUGUGAAGAAGGCCUUCGGGUUGUAAAGCACUUUUGUCCGGAAAGAAAUCCUUGGCUCUAAUACAGUCGGGGGAUGACGGUACCGGAAGAAUAAGCACCGGCUAACUACGUGCCAGCAGCCGCGGUAAUACGUAGGGUGCGAGCGUUAAUCGGAAUUACUGGGCGUAAAGCGUGCGCAGGCGGUUUGCUAAGACCGAUGUGAAAUCCCCGGGCUCAACCUGGGAACUGCAUUGGUGACUGGCAGGCUAGAGUAUGGCAGAGGGGGGUAGAAUUCCACGUGUAGCAGUGAAAUGCGUAGAGAUGUGGAGGAAUACCGAUGGCGAAGGCAGCCCCCUGGGCCAAUACUGACGCUCAUGCACGAAAGCGUGGGGAGCAAACAGGAUUAGAAACCCCUGUAGUCCCAUGAU
rnacentral:rRNA from 1 species